rnacentral:rRNA from 1 species
UCUGGGCCGUUACUGACGCUGAGGAGCGAAAGGGUGGGGAGCAAACAGGCUUAGAUACCCUGGUAGUCCACCCCGUAAACGUUGGGAACUAGUUGUGGGGUCCAUUCCACGGAUUCCGUGACGCAGCUAACGCAUUAAGUUCCCCGCCUGGGGAGUACGGCCGCAAGGCUAAAACUCAAAGGAAUUGACGGGGACCCGCACAAGCGGCGGAGCAUGCGGAUUAAUUCGAUGCAACGCGAAGAACCUUACCAAGGCUUGACAUAUACGAGAACGGGCCAGAAAUGGUCAACUCUUUGGACACUCGUAAACAGGUGGUGCAUGGUUGUCGUCAGCUCGUGUCGUGAGAUGUUGGGUUAAGUCCCGCAACGAGCGCAACCCUCGUUCUAUGUUGCCAGCACGUAAUGGUGGGAACUCAUGGGAUACUGCCGGGGUCAACUCGGAGGAAGGUGGGGAUGACGUCAAAUCAUCAUGCCCCUUAUGUCUUGGGCUUCACGCAUGCUACAAUGGCCGGUACAAAGGGCUGCAAUACCGCGAGGUGGAGCGAAUCCCAAAAAGCCGGUCCCAGUUCGGAUUGAGGUCUGCAACUCGACCUCAUGAAGUCGGAGUCGCUAGUAAUCGCAGAUCAGCAACGCUGCGGUGAAUACGUUCCCGGGUCUUGUACACACCGCCCGUCAAGUCAUGAAAGUCGGUAACACCUGAAGCCGGUGGCCCA